rnacentral:rRNA from 1 species
AACGAACGCUGGCGGCAUGCCUAACACAUGCAAGUCGAACGAGACCUUCGGGUCUAGUGGCGCACGGGUGCGUAACGCGUGGGAAUCUGCCCUCAGGUACGGAAUAACUCAGGGAAACUUGAGCUAAUACCGUAUAAUGACUUCGGUCCAAAGAUUUAUCGCCUGGGGAUGAGCCCGCGUCGGAUUAGCUAGUUGGUGAGGUAAAGGCUCACCAAGGCGACGAUCCGUAGCUGGUCUGAGAGGAUGAUCAGCCACACUGGGACUGAGACACGGCCCAGACUCCUACGGGAGGCAGCAGUGGGGAAUAUUGGACAAUGGGCGCAAGCCUGAUCCAGCAAUGCCGCGUGAGUGAUGAAGGCCUUAGGGUUGUAAGGCUCUUUUACCCGGGAAGAUAAUGACUGUACCGGGAGAAUAAGCCCCGGCUAACUCCGUGCCAGCAGCCGCGGUAAUACGGAGGGGGCUAGCGUUGUUCGGAAUUACGUGGGCGUAAAGCGCAUGGU